GGCAUGCUCUGGGCCCUCAGGCCUGUUUAGACGGCUGGGCCGGAUGUGACCAACUCCAGGCACUUGGUUCUCCGCAAGGCUGGAGCUGUCAUCUCAAAAGCUGCUCAGCCAGAAGCCAAGAGGCAGGUGUCCUGUGGGCCCUGGGCAAGCUUCUUCUCCCGGUGGGCCUCGGAUUCUUUGCCUGUGGAAAGAGGUAUUUGGUUCCAACACCCUUUGGACGCUGGUGCCCUGUUCACCUGUGGGCCAGGACAACCCCGGUUCUGCUGUUCUGAUGUGGCCCUUCCAGACGGGGGCUGGUCGUGCCUGACUCUCUCUCCCUGAAGUCGUCUGUCCUGAGCCUCUGCCCCGGGCCCUGGCCAGGAAGAGUCUAAGGAAACGUGAACAUCUUUGCACUCUGUCCACCACGUCCAAAUUGAAAGCAGAAGAGGCCGGAGCCUUUGCUGUUAGCUCCUGCAGAGCAGGUCUGUCUUUUAUCGCUUUGGAGUCACCUUCUUAGGAGAGACUAAGUCUGCUUCGGUGAGAGUGACAGAGCAUGAAUGGGGGAGGGUCACAGACAGGGAGACACAGAAUCCGAAGCAGGCUCCGGGCUCCGAGCUGUCAGCACAGAGCCCAGCGUGGGGCUUGAACUCACGGACCGUGAGAUCAUGACCUGAGCCGAAGUCAGAUGCUUAACCGACUGAGCCCCCCAGGCGCCCCGAACUCAUACAAUACUGUAUGUCAAUUACUCUUCAGUAAUAAAAAAAAUUAAAUCAGUCAAUCCUCUCUACUUGAGGGCCGAAAAGAGAUUUAAAAAUAACAUAUAGGGACACCUGGGGGGCUUAGUCGGUUAAGCAUCUGACUCGUGAUUUCGGCUCAGGUCCUGAUCUCACAGUUCAUGGGUUGGAGCCCCAUGUUGGGCUCUGUGUUGACAGUGCAGAGCCUGCUUCAGAUUCCCUCUCUCUCUCUCUCUCUCUCUCUCUCUCUCUCUGUCUCUCUGACCCUCCUUGGCUCACAUGCAC